UGAAUAUUAUCAUUUAUAUAUCUAUAUAUAUUGGUUAAGCUUCAUCUUCAACAAGUAAGAAUAACCUCAAACUCACUACACUUUUGUUGUUCUUGUUUAUCUUUGUUUGAAAAGCUGUAAAGUUGAAAAGUCAACGCCACACACUAAUCAUUUAGGUUUCUUGAUCUUGUUGUUCUAGUGCUGCUCUAGUGGACCAAUGGGUAAUUGGGAUAUGGGUGAGAUUAUGGAAGAAAUCUGACAGAAGAGAGUGAGCAUAUGCAACCAAUUGUAUAGAUUGUAUACAUUUGUUGGGAUUCUGCAUGUGCUCACUUCUCUUCUGUCAGCUAGCUAGCUCAACUCACAAAGCCAGUGGAACAACAACAACAACAACAACAGUAACAUAACUUAUAACAUAAGUUGUUAUUGUUGUGUUGUUAUAUCUAUUUUGUUUGAAUUUUAUGUGUUUUUAUAAUCAUUUUAUGUGUACUGUGUUUUAGUGGAUAAGGGAGAAUUGAAGCUUACAGAAAAAGUAGUGACACCUGGACACAAUAACCACAAUCUACUGCCACCACCAUCACUGUAUUCAUUGGGAAAGGCUGCAAGUUAUGUUGACUAGUUACACAUCUUUCUAUAUAAUUAACAAAUUUGACUCUUUUUUCAGGUUCUUGAAGUGUAAAAAUGGAAACUUGGAUGAGAUUCAAAUGAAGAAGGUGAAGAAGAAGAUGAUGUUGGGUACUUUAGGUUUGGAAACAACAUGACUGCCCAAAGAUGCAUGCAAUAAAAUCUUGGAAAGUUUUAAGCUUUCCAUAUGAUUAGGAGGGUUAUUUCUUUGGCAGCUGGAUAAACAAUAAAGAAUUGUGUAAUGCCAUCAUGACCAUGGACAUCCUGCAACAAAACAGGAUUUUAGUGCUUCGAUAACAAGUGGACUUGGCUCCGGGCUUUCAAGUCAGAGAAGGAUGCCGAAAUAGCAUACGUUUCCUCCAAAACUUGCAAAUUACAUAGUCGCCCCACGGAGUACAGAACAAGACUUGCGACAACCGCAUUAUGUGGACAACGCAGGGGGGCGUUUUGGUAAACUGUUUUAAUAGGAGUUUACCCGGGUGAGGCUGCGUAACUUUCCCAACUAGACCAUGAUCUAAAAAAAGCUGCUUUGAAGUUAUCUCCAACAAUAGUUAUAUCGGGUGAGGAUCAAAACAGGUAUAUUUGUUGUUAACAUUUCAUGACAUCUUUGCACUCUUUUUUCUGGCAAGACCGAACGCGUGUUUUAAAUAUUACAGCUUGGUUCAGCUCGUUUUUGUUCAACAAUCUCGAUAUUCUUCAUCUAUCAAAGAUGUGUUUGAUGGUUUUUUUCCUACUUUUAAUAAUUUCUGACUAGAUGGAUCCGCUAGUAGGUUUAAUUGUUUCGGUGAAUAUUAUACUGCGUUUUGACGCAGGUCUUUGUUCCUGGUUUAACUUGCGGCUAUUCAGCGUUGUGUGCAGUCAUGGGCGUAUGGAGUCGCCUUUUGCCAUUGGGUUACCCCGGGUAGUCGGACAUUGAUU
rnacentral:lncRNA from 1 species